UUUCCGUCCAGCGUCCACACACCUCACCUGCUCACCAGCAGACUUGCUCUGUGAUGCAUUCCUCUGAUGAUCCCCUCUCGCUUAGCCGAACCGCAACGGCUCCCGUGCCGCCCGCACGACCUGCUUGCGCUGCCGCAACUACUAGUCCGCCGCCGCUCCGCUGCUAUCCGCUAGCGUAGCCCCCCGCGCCGGAGUCGCCGCCGCGAUGGCCUCCCGAUCCGCCGGGGCCCUCGGGCUCCUCCUCCUCCUUCUAGCCGCCGUCGCGGUCGCGGGCUCCGCCGCCGCCGCCGGGGCAGGGGAGGGGAAGUGGCGGGAGGAGCAGGCGCGGGACCGGGUGCCGCGGGUGCCGGGGCAGGGCUUCAACACCAGCUUCGCGCACUACGCCGGGUACGUCACCGUCAGCGAGCCGCGCGGCGCCGCGCUCUUCUACUGGUUCUUCGAGGCCGAGAAGGACCCGGGGUCCAAGCCCCUCGUGCUCUGGCUCAACGGAGGGCCUGGAUGCUCGUCCAUUGCCUAUGGACUUGGAGAAGAAGUGGGACCUUUCCAUGUUAAUGCAGAUGGAAAGGGGGUACAUAUGAAUCCUUAUUCUUGGAACAAAGUUGCAAAUUUAUUGUUUGUUGAUUCACCUGUUGGUGUUGGUUACUCAUAUUCAAACACCUCUGAUGAUAUUUUAAGCAACGGGGAUGCGAGGACUGCCAAGGAUUCAUUAGAAUUCUUACUUAAGUGGCUUGAACGCUUUCCUCAGUAUAAGGGGCGUGAGUUUUAUUUGACAGGGGAGAGUUAUGCUGGUCACUACGUUCCUCAACUGGCUCAAGCCAUAAAAAGGUACCAUGAGGCCACCGGUGACAAAUCGAUUAAUCUAAAGGGAUACAUGGUAGGAAAUGCUCUCACUGAUGAUUUCCAUGACCACUAUGGAAUAUUUCAAUUCAUGUGGACUACUGGCUUGAUCUCCGAUCAAACAUAUAAGCUGCUGAACAUUUUCUGUGACUACGAGUCCUUUGUGCAUACAUCUCCACAGUGUGAGAAGAUUCUUGAUAUUGCUAGCACUGAAGCUGGAAACAUUGAUUCAUAUAGCAUCUUCACACCUACAUGUCAUGCAUCUUUUGCCUCCUCAAAGAACAAAGUGAUGAAAAGGCUACAUUCUGUUGGAAAAAUGGGAGAGCAGUAUGAUCCAUGCACUGAAAAGCAUUCAAUUGUUUACUUCAAUCUAGCUGAGGUCCAAAAGGCACUUCAUGUUAAUCCAUUGAUUGGAAAAUCAAAAUGGGAGACAUGCAGUGAAGUUGUUAAUACUCAUUGGGGGGACUGCGAAAGAUCUGUGCUGCAUAUCUACCAUGAACUUAUACAGUAUGGCCUUCGUAUAUGGGUGUUCAGCUUUGUCCAGUGGAGAUACAGAUGCAGUGAUUCCAGUGACAUCAACUAGGUACAGCAUUGAUGCUCUCAAGCUUCCAACAGUAACUCCAUGGCAUGCUUGGUAUGACGAUGAUGGCGAGGUUGGUGGCUGGACUCAAGGGUACCAGGGACUCACCUUUGUGACUGUGAGGGGUGCAGGCCAUGAAGUUCCUCUUCAUCGACCCAAACAGGCUCUCACACUCAUCAAAUCAUUCUUGGCUGGGAGUCCAAUGCCUGUGCAAUCCAGUGCACACAGUGACAUGUAACCUGUACUGCUACAACUGAUUCAAGAGAUGGCCAUCAUCAAAGUUCCAUCUCAACCAAGUCAGUUGUUGGAACCCCACUUAUUCUGAAACUUGCUAUGGUUGUUUAUGUAUCAGAGCUACUGGUGCCACUGUGCCAGUUACCAUAGCCGUUUAUUUACCGGCUUUGCUGGUGCUUGUGCCAAUUAUCCCCUAAGAAAACCGGGGUAAUAAACUGUAGAAUAGUUUUUGUUGCCACGGAACUGACACACCGUGUUGAACUGUUGAUGUUACUGUGAGCCUAAGAACAAAUUUGCAUGUGUCACUGUACUGUAUUUAUUUAUGCACAAGGUGUGAUUUCUGAUGUUUGCAAUAA